AAAAAAAUAGAUCAACUUAAGUAUUGUAAAACAUGAGGCUCGUAAAGCAUCUUAUUAUUUGUCCACACUACUAUCAACGGUUGGAUAAAAAAUGAGCAAAUAUUUUCGAAACUCACAAGUAUUACGGUUGGUAACGGGCCUCCUCCAUGAUUCUCCUUCUUCGUCAAUCUCCAGCACGCUCCAAGUCGGAGCUCUCCUCCACGCAAUCCACCGUGGAAGCUCUGAAAUCGCCCUGAUCAGCUCCACCGCGUGGCCGUGCUCUUCGUCGCCGUCGGGAUCGAGCCUCGCCGUCAGAAUCAAGUCGAGGUGUUGCAGACGGAAGAGAAGCUUGGUCGGAUCAACAAUGGUGACUUAUAGACCAUUUGAACAUCAUGACCUUAAACAUUCGGCUAUUCACGCUUUGACCCCAAAACUCUUGACAGUGCAGCACCAGCGAUAGCGAUGACGACGGGGACGAGUUUGAGACCAGUGGUGACAUGGGCAAGCUCGAGACCGGUGACUACGGGUCAAGACGGAUGCGAGCUCGAGACGUCUCCUCUUGCUCACGACAACCACUAUUAUCGCACGGGACGACUGAUAAGUAAUAACCCUAACCCCGACGGGUUCCUCUCCGUUGGCGAACAUCAUUUCCGGCAACGGUUCGGUUGUUUCAUCUUCUACUUCUUCGGGGAAAUCAACGAGUCGAGAAGCCACCAUCUCUCGAUUAGGGUUUACAACCUUUUUUGGUGAUAGAGAAAUGAGGGAAAAUGAACGGUCUAAGAAAAUGACAAUAAAGAUAUUGGAUGAUAUGAGAGAUUUUUGGUAAGGGAUUUGUUUUCCGGUAAUCGAAACUAGAGUAAGAUACUGUUCCAAAUCGAUGUCAUACUUAUUAAAUCUUGCUUAACCGGUUGUGUGAGAGAUAUGUUAGAGAAAAUAUAUAUACCUAUAUUCCAGCUCACCACAUAACUAGGGAUAGUAUCGGUAUUACUGGAAAAUCAACAGUGUGUUUGCCAUUUAUCUAAUUAAAAAGUGUAUCAUGUAUAUGUAGUGCAAAAACCCUUAAAAGAAAAAGAAAAGUAACCUUUGAAAUUUGUUGUCAAAAAAAAAAAAAGUAACCUUUGAAACUAAUUUUAGUUUUAUGUGAAAUAAUACAAAAUAUACUAGUUAAAUUUGUAUUAUUUGUUCGUUUCAGUUUUAUGUAUUAUUUGUUUUGCGAAAAUGACCUUCCGACGCAUUAACAACGUGAAGAACUUGAUGCCAAAUCUACAUAGAAACGAAAUCAAAAUAAA